rnacentral:rRNA from 1 species
AUGAGCCAUACAAUGAAGCUAUGGGAGAGAGUCAUUGAGCACCGCUUAAGAAGAAUGACAAGCGUGACCAAAAAUCAGUUUGGUUUCAUGCCUGGGAGGUCGACCAUGGAAGCCAUUUUCUUGGUACGACAACUUAUGGAGAGAUAUAGGGAGCAAAGGAAGGACUUGCAUAUGGUGUUCAUUGACUUGGAGAAGGCCUAUGAUAAGAUACCGCGGAAUGUCAUGUGGUGGGCCUUGGAGAAACACAAAGUUCCAGCAAAGUACAUUACCCUCAUCAAGGACAUGUACGAUAAUGCUGUGACAAGUGUUCGAACAAGUGAUGUCGACACCGGUGACUUCCCGAUUAAGAUAGGACUGCAUCAGGGGUCAGCCUUGAGCCCUUAUCUUUUUGCAUUGGUGAUGGAUGAGGUCACAAGGGAUAUACAAGGAGAUAUCCCAUGGUGUAUGCUCUUUGCGGAUGAUGUGGUGCUAGUUGACGAUAGUCGGACGGGGGUAAAUAGGAAGUUAGAGUUAUGGAGACAAACCUUGGAAUCGGAAGGGUUUAGGCUUAGUAGAACUAAAACCGAGUACAUGAUGUGCGGUUUCAGUACUACUAGGUGUGAGGAGGAGGAGGUUAGCCUUGAUGGCCAGGUGGUACCUCGGAAGGACACCUUUCGGUAUUUGGGGUCAAUGUUGCAGGAGGAUGGGGGUAUUGAUGAAGAUGUGAACCAUCGAAUCAAAGCCGGAUGGAUGAAGUGGCGCCAAGCUUCUGGCAUUCUCUGUGACAAGAGAGUACCACAAAAGCUAAAAGUU